rnacentral:tRNA from 1 species
GCGCUUGUAGCUCAACGGAUAGAGCGCCAGACUUCGGAUCUGGCGGUUAGGGGUUCGAGUCCCUUCAAGCGCGCCA